CCUACGGGGGGCAGCAGUGGGGAAUAUUGGACAAUGGGGGCAACCCUGAUCCAGCCAUGCCGCGUGUGUGAAGAAGGCCCUCGAGUUGUAAAGCACUUUCAGUGAGGAAGAACGCCUGGUGGUUAAUACCCAUCAGGAAAGACAUCACUCACAGAAGAAGCACCGGCUAACUCCGUGCCAGCAGCCGCGGUAAUACGGAGGGUGCGAGCGUUAAUCGGAAUUACUGGGCGUAAAGCGCGCGUAGGUGGCUUGAUAAGCCGGUUGUGAAAGCCCCGGGCUCAACCUGGGAACGGCAUCCGGAACUGUCAAGCUAGAGUGCAGGAGAGGAAGGUAGAAUUCCCGGUGUAGCGGUGAAAUGCGUAGAGAUCGGGAGGAAUACCAGUGGCGAAGGCGGCCUUCUGGACUGACACUGACACUGAGGUGCGAAAGCGUGGGUAGCAAACAGGAUUAGAUACCCUUGUAGUC
rnacentral:rRNA from 1 species